rnacentral:rRNA from 1 species
UGCUCCCUGAUGUUAGCGGCGGACGGGUGAGUAACACGUGGGUAACCUGCCUGUAAGACUGGGAUAACUCCGGGAAACCGGGGCUAAUACCGGAUGCUUGUUUGAACCGCAUGGUUCAAACAUAAAAGGUGGCUUCGGCUACCACUUACAGAUGGACCCGCGGCGCAUUAGCUAGUUGGUGAGGUAACGGCUCACCAAGGCGACGAUGCGUAGCCGACCUGAGAGGGUGAUCGGCCACACUGGGACUGAGACACGGCCCAGACUCCUACGGGAGGCAGCAGUAGGGAAUCUUCCGCAAUGGACGAAAGUCUGACGGAGCAACGCCGCGUGAGUGAUGAAGGUUUUCGGAUCGUAAAGCUCUGUUGUUAGGGAAGAACAAGUGCCGUUCAAAUAGGGCGGCACCUUGACGGUACCUAACCAGAAAGCCACGGCUAACUACGUGCCAGCAGCCGCGGUAAUACGUAGGUGGCAAGCGUUGUCCGGAAUUAUUGGGCGUAAAGGGCUCGCAGGCGGUUUCUUAAGUCUGAUGUGAAAGCCCCCGGCUCAACCGGGGAGGGUCAUUGGAAACUGGGGAACUUGAGUGCAGAAGAGGAGAGUGGAAUUCCACGUGUAGCGGUGAAAUGCGUAGAGAUGUGGAGGAACACCAGUGGCGAAGGCGACUCUCUGGUCUGUAACUGACGCUGAGGAGCGAAAGCGUGGGGAGCGAACAGGAUUAGAUACCCUGGUAGUCCACGCCGUAAACGAUGAGUGCUAAGUGUUAGGGGGUUUCCGCCCCUUAGUGCUGCAGCUAACGCAUUAAGCACUCCGCCUGGGGAGUACGGUCGCAAGACUGAAACUCAAAGGAAUUGACGGGGGCCCGCACAAGCGGUGGAGCAUGUGGUUUAAUUCGAAGCAACGCGAAGAACCUUACCAGGUCUUGACAUCCUCUGACAAUCCUAGAGAUAGGACGUCCCCUUCGGGGGCAGAGUGACAGGUGGUGCAUGGUUGUCGUCAGCUCGUGUCGUGAGAUGUUGGGUUAAGUCCCGCAACGAGCGCAACCCUUGAUCUUAGUUGCCAGCAUUCAGUUGGGCACUCUAAGGUGACUGCCGGUGACAAACCGGAGGAAGGUGGGGAUGACGUCAAAUCAUCAUGCCCCUUAUGACCUGGGCUACACACGUGCUACAAUGGGCAGAACAAAGGGCAGCGAAACCGCGAGGUUAAGCCAAUCCCACAAAUCUGUUCUCAGUUCGGAUCGCAGUCUGCAACUC